rnacentral:rRNA from 1 species
GAAAUAUCCCGUUAAAGCGUGUAGGUAUUGAUAGAGUAGGCAAAUCCGCUCUUGAACCGAACGUGAUAGUACUCAAGGUUUUCGAACUGAGAGAUAGUGUACCUAAUCAGACUUCCUAGAAAAACCUCUAAGCUUCAGGUAUAGCAACCCGUACCGUAAACCGACACAGGUAGACGAGGAGAGUAUCCUCAGGCGCUCGAGUGAGUCACGGCUAAGGAACUCGGCAAAAUGGACCCGUAACUUCGGGAGAAGGGUCGCCCCAGCAAUGGGGCCGCAGUGAAAAGUAUCAGGCGACUGUUUAACGAAAACACAGGGCUCUGCAAAAUCGAAAGAUGAAGUAUAGGGCCUGACACCUGCCCGGUGCUGGAAGGUUAAGGAAGGUUGUUAGCCGCAAGGCAAAGCUUCCGACUGAAGCCCCAGUAAACGGCGGCCGUAACUAUAACGGUCCUAAGGUAGCGAAAUUCCUUGUCGGGUAGGUUCCGACCUGCACGAAUGGUGUAACGAUCUGAUAACUGUCUCAGCCGUGAGCUCGGUGAAAUUAUAGUCCCGGUGAAGAUGCCGGGUACCCGUAACGGGACGGAAAGACCCCGUGAACCUUCACUACAACUUUGCAUUGACUUUGAGUAAACGAUGUGUAGCAUAGGUGGGAGACUUUGAAGCGGGCACGCUAGUGUUCGUGGAGUCAACGUUGAAAUACCACCCUUUGUUUACUUAGAGCCUAAUCCGCUAAGCGGAGAAAGUGCAUGGUGGGUAGUUUGACUGGGGUGGUCGCCUCCAAAAGAGUAACGGAGGCUUCCAAAGGUACCCUCAGCACGCUUGGUAACCGUGCGCAGAGUGUAUUAGCAUAAGGGUGCUUGACUGUGAGACCGACGGGUCGAGCAGGUACGAAAGUAGGGUAAAGUGAUCCGGUGGUUCUGCAUGGAAGGGCCAUCGCUCAAAGGAUAAAAGGUACUCCGGGGAUAACAGGCUGAUCUCCCCCAAGAGCUCAUAUCGACGGGGAGGUUUGGCACCUCGAUGUCGGCUCGUCACAUCCUGGGGCUGGAGAAGGUCCCAAGGGUUGAGCUGUUCGCUCAUUAAAGUGGCACGCGAGCUGGGUUCAGAACGUCGCAAGACAGUUCGGUCCCUAUCUGUUAUGGGCGUUUGAGAUUUGAGGAGAUCUGUUUCUAGUACGAGAGGACCGGAAUGGACUGACCUCUAGUGUACCGGUUAUGUCGCCAGAUGUACCGCCGGGUAGCUACGUUGGGAAUGGAUAAGCGCUGAAAGCAUCUAAGCACGAAACCAACUUCAAGAUGAGAUCUCAUAGGGUCGUCGAAGACUACGACGUUGAUAGGUCAUAGGUGUAAAGGUGGUAACAUCAAAGCCGAGUGAUACUAAUAACCCAUCAACUUUUUUG